rnacentral:rRNA from 1 species
UCGAGCGAACAGACGAGGAGCUUGCUCCUCUGACGUUAGCGGCGGACGGGUGAGUAACACGUGGAUAACCUACCUAUAAGACUGGGAUAACUUCGGGAAACCGGAGCUAAUACCGGAUAAUAUAUUGAACCGCAUGGUUCAAUAGUGAAAGACGGUUUUGCUGUCACUUAUAGAUGGAUCCGCGCCGCAUUAGCUAGUUGGUAAGGUAACGGCUUACCAAGGCAACGAUGCGUAGCCGACCUGAGAGGGUGAUCGGCCACACUGGAACUGAGACACGGUCCAGACUCCUACGGGAGGCAGCAGUAGGGAAUCUUCCGCAAUGGGCGAAAGCCUGACGGAGCAACGCCGCGUGAGUGAUGAAGGUCUUCGGAUCGUAAAACUCUGUUAUUAGGGAAGAACAAAUGUGUAAGUAACUAUGCACGUCUUGACGGUACCAAUCAGAAAGCCACGGCUAACUACGUGCCAGCAGCCGCGGUAAUACGUAGGUGGCAAGCGUUAUCCGGAAUUAUUGGGCGUAAAGCGCGCGUAGGCGGUUUUUUAAGUCUGAUGUGAAAGCCCACGGCUCAACCGUGGAGGGUCAUUGGAAACUGGAAAACUUGAGUGCAGAAGAGGAAAGUGGAAUUCCAUGUGUAGCGGUGAAAUGCGCAGAGAUAUGGAGGAACACCAGUGGCGAAGGCGACUUUCUGGUCUGUAACUGACGCUGAUGUGCGAAAGCGUGGGGAUCAAACAGGAUUAGAUACCCUGGUAGUCCACGCCGUAAACGAUGAGUGCUAAGUGUUAGGGGGUUUCCGCCCCUUAGUGCUGCAGCUAACGCAUUAAG